rnacentral:pre_miRNA from 1 species
CUAAUACUCCCUCCGUCCCAAAAUUCUUGUCUUAAAUUUGUCUAGAUACGGAUGUAUCAAAUACUAAAACGUGACUUGAUACAUCCGUAUCUAGACAAAUCUAAGACAAGAAUUUUGGGACGGAGGGAGUAUGAU